GAUGAACGCUGGCGGCGUGCCUAAUACAUGCAAGUCGAGCGAAUGGAUUAAGAGCUUGCUCUUAUGAAGUUAGCGGCGGACGGGUGAGUAACACGUGGGUAACCUGCCCAUGAGACUGGGAUAACUCCGGGAAACCGGGGCUAAUACCGGAUAACAUUUUGAACCGCAUGGUUCGAAAUUGAAAGGCGGCUUCGGCUGUCACUUAUGGAUGGACCCGCGUCGCAUUAGCUAGUUGGUGAGGUAACGGCUCACCAAGGCAACGAUGCGUAGCCGACCUGAGAGGGUGAUCGGCCACACUGGGACUGAGCCACGGCCCAGACUCCUACGGGAGGCAGCAGUAGGGAAUCUUCCGCAAUGGACGAAAGUCUGACGGAGCAACGCCGCGUGAGUGAUGAAGGCUUUCGGGUCGUAAAACUCUGUUGUUAGGGAAGAACAAGUGCUAGUUGAAUAAGCUGGCACCUUGACGGUACCUAACCAGAAAGCCACGGCUAAUUACGUGCCAGCCGCCGCAGUAA
rnacentral:rRNA from 1 species